AACGAACGCUGGCGGCAGGCUUAACACAUGCAAGUCGAACGGGCAUAGCAAUACGUCAGUGGCAGACGGGUGAGUAACACGUGGGAACCUUCCUAGGGGUACGGAACAACUCAGGGAAACUUGAGCUAAUACCGUAUACGUCCGUGAGGAGAAAGAUUUAUCGCCCUUGGACGGGCCCGCGUCGGAUUAGCUAGUUGGUGGGGUAACGGCCUACCAAGGCGACGAUCCGUAGCUGAUCUGAGAGGAUGAUCAGCCACACUGGGACUGAGACACGGCCCAGACUCCUACGGGAGGCAGCAGUGGGGAAUCUUGGGCAAUGGGGCGCAAGCCUGAUCCAGCCAUGCCGCGUGAGUGAAGAAGGCCUUC
rnacentral:rRNA from 1 species